CCUACGGGGGGCUGCAGUGAGGAAUAUUGGGCAAUGGGGGCAACUCUGACCCAGCCACGCCGCGUGCGUGAAGAAGGUCCUCGGAUUGUAAAGCUCUUUCGGACGUGACGUUGAUGACGGUAGCGUCUAAAGAAGCACCGGCCAACUUCGUGCCAGCAGCCGCGGUAAUACGGAGGGUGCGAGCGUUGUUCGGAAUUACUGGGCGUAAAGGGAGUGUAGGCGGGUAUGUAAGAUAGCGGUGAACUGCCGGGGCUAAACCGCGGAACUGACAUGAGGACUGUGUGGCUAGAGUGAGGGAGAGGUAGGCGGAAGACGGGGGGUAGAGGUGAAAUGCUGAGAUAUUGGGAAGAACACCGGUUGCGAAGGCGGCUAACUGGCGAGUUACUGACGCUGAGGCUCGAAGGUGUGGGGAUCAAACAGGAUUAGAGACCCUAGUAGUC
rnacentral:rRNA from 1 species